UAAGACGAACCGUGCGAACGUUGUUCGGAAUCACUGGGCUUAAAGGGCGCGUAGGCGGGUCUGCAAGUCCGGGGUGAAAGCCCCCAGCUCAACUGGGGAAGUGCCUUGGAUACUGCGGGUCUAGAGUGAGGUAGGGGCAUGUGGAACUUCGGGUGGAGCGGUGAAAUGCGUUGAUAUCCGAAGGAACGCCGGUGGCGAAAGCGACAUGCUGGAUCUCUUCUGACGCUGAGGCGCGAAAGCCAGGGUAGCGAACGGGAUUAGAUACCCCGGUAGUCCUGGCCCUAAACGAUGGGAACUAGGUUGCGGACUUAACAUGGGUUCGCAGCCGAAGCAAAAGUGGUAAGUUCCCCGCCUGGGGAGUAUGGUCGCAAGGCUG
rnacentral:rRNA from 1 species